rnacentral:lncRNA from 1 species
CUUGCUUUGUGUCCUAAUGUAUGAUCUAUCUUAGAGGCAGCUAUGUGGACUCUGAGAGCUGUAAGAGUCAGUGUUUGGGCAGAUGUUCUGUAGUCCACUUGAUCUAGGAUGCCCUGUAAUUCUGAUGGCUCUGUUCUGUUGGUUGUCAGUUCUAGCCGGCCAACCCCAGGGGAGAGUUUUACUUCCUUUUCUACUAUUGGCUGCUGCCCUGAGCGUGGCUUUUUUCCCCAGCUGUUUUGAAUGUCCCCUGCUUUUCUGUACCAUGCCUUUCACCAGCUUGUUUUCUUGAGAUUUUGGCCAAGUACGCCUGAAUGUUGCCUGCCGUGUUGGAUUUGGCAUGUUUAUUUAUUUUGAAAAUGAAUAUAAAUGAAAAAACUUUUUUGUGAUUAUUGUACAUG